UUAACCUCCCUUAACACCCCUUAACAAAGGUUAUUUUAAACAUGUGUUUUUCCUUUAUCUUAUUACAAUUCCACCACAUGUGGUAAAAAGUGUUCUCUUUUUCCUUACGUUUCCAACAGACAUUUGAGUUAGUCCUACACAUUUUCUCUAACUUAAGGUAAAGGGAUCCCUGACCAUUAGGUGCAGUCGUGGCCGACUCUGGGGUUGCGGCGCUCAUCUCGCUUUAUUGGCUGAGGGAGCCGGCGUACAGCUUCCGGGUCGUGUGGCCAGCAUGACUAAGCCGCUUCUGGCGAACCAAAGCAGCACACGGAAACGCCGUUUACCUUCCCGCCAGAGUGGUACCUAUUUAUCUACUUGCACUUUGACAUGCUUUCGAACUGCUAGGUUGGCUGGAGCAGGGACCGAGCAAUGGGAGCUCACCCCGUCGCAGGGAUUCAAACCCCUGACCUUCCGAUCGGCAAGUCCUAGGCUCUGUGGUUUAACCCACAGCGCCACCUGCACCCCUGGGUGUUAAAUACCUGCUGUACAUCAUCUUCACAUAGUUUUCUUGCAGUGUAUAACACGCUGUAAAUUUUUAGCUCCUCUCUCCAAAGUUUUUCCCAUGCUGCCAAUUGUAUGGUAUAUCGAAAAUCUCUUGCCCAUUGAAUCAUUGCAUGUUUUAGAGAUUUCCACCCUGUCGCUCCUUUCUCGCCAAUGAAGGUCAUGGACCACUGGUGGUCUGCAGACCGCAGUUUGGGAACCAUGGAUCUUAAGAGCAGAAGAGCAGAGCAUUUCUCAUAUUGCAAAUGUGUUGUUUCCAACACACCGAUGGUUCAGAGACAGAAUCUUGAAAACUCCAGAAUGUCUGUGCGUGGUUUUUCCCAGAAGCCCCUCCACCAGCGCCUCAUGACAGUGGCUGCUCAGGUGUCUCAGCAAAGCCUGAUAUCUCAGGACGUUCAUCAUCCACCACACCUGGAAAUCCGAGCUGCCCUGGCUCACGAUACGGAGGCUCUCUUUGGAGCUGCAGCAGCUGAUAUGCAUUGAUGGACGUAUCCUCCACAAACAUAGCUAAUCCCUUUAAAAGCCUCUUGUCAAGGAACGAUGAUGGAUUUGAUAGGCUAAUUGGCUAAUUACGCUUUGAGAGAGAACCUGGAUUGUCCUGGGCUCUAGUGUGUGGGUGAGAGAGGCAGACAGACUUCAUUUCGCUCUCUUUCUUUCCUCCACAUCAUUCAUAACACGGUGGCUGGGCGUAGUGGUUAGAGCAUCAGACUAGGACCUGGCAGAAGAGCAGGGUUCGAAUCCCCACAACUCGGACACGAAGCUCACUAGGUGUGACCUUGGGGGGCAGUCACGGCCUCUCACCCUAGCCCUAGUUUCUGCGGGAAUUAAAUGUGGAGGAGGAGGAACCAUGCUCGCCACCUUGAGCUCCUUAGGGAAUGGAAGGAAGGAAGGAAGGAAGGAAGGAAGGAAGGAAGG